CUAUGAUGACAGUUAGAGUAUUCAAUGAUCUGAUUACUGGGGCACAGGAAAACAGGAUGUGCUAAUUCUUAUUACCAUUUGGUGACUUCCUUAGAAGUGGGAAACCCAAGAACUCUACAUGCUCAGACAAGAAAAGGGGGGAUUUUGACCUCCUAAGAAAGUCCUUAGUGAAAGAGGCAAGUGUUGGCAGCUGGAAAUUGGGCUGGUCUACAUUGCUGAGCUCUCAAUGAACCUCAGUCCUCAAAACAGAAUCUGUUAUGAGGGAAUAUUUGGAAAGAUGAGUCAAACUCAUGUUCAAGCUCAACCACCAGGCAUGAAAACGACAGCUCUUCAAGCUAUCUGAAGAAGAGAGCCAACUGACGCAGCCUGGGUUUUCCACUUCCUGGAAGAUGAAGCUCCUGGACAAGUUUCAUGUUUAUUAUGAGAUAGAAAUAUAAAGCACAUUGGUAUUAGGAGGGGUCUAAGCAGGCAAAAGUCUUAAGAGUGCCCUUGAGCAGCAGAGAGGACUAGAAAGCAGGAAGGACAAAGAAAACAAGCACUGUGCCUUUGUAUUUUAUUAAAGCCAGGGAUUCCUCCUUGGAGGGAUAAAGCCUUUCAUACUUUCAGAUGUUUGUACACAUGGUUCCUAGUUGGUGGUACUGUUUGGGAAGGUUUAGUGUAUAAUUGGAAAUGGGCUUGAGAGUUUAAAGACUCAUGCUGUCUCCAGUUAGUUCUCUCCAUUUAUGCUUUUGUUUGAAGAUGCGAACUCUGAUUGCUCCAGCCUCUAUGUCUCCCCUGCCAUGAUUUCUCUACCAUCAUGGACUCUAACCCUCUGGAUCCAUAAGCCUA